CUUGGCCAGCCUUCUGAAAGGAAGAUUAAUCCAGGAUGGGAUCAUGAGUUCACAUGUCCGCAUGAUUAAAGGUAUUUUCCGGUAGACGAUGGGGAUGCGUUCCAUUAGAUAGUAGGCGGGGUAACGGCCCACCUAGUCAACGAUGGAUAGGGGUUCUGAGAGGAAGGUCCCCCACAUUGGAACUGAGACACGGUCCAAACUCCUACGGGAGGCAGCAGUGAGGAAUAUUGGUCAAUGGGCGAUGGCCUGAACCAGCCAAGUAGCGUGAAGGAUGACUGCCCUAUGGGUUGUAAACUUCUUUUAUAAAGGAAUAAAGUCGGGUAUGCAUACCCGUUUGCAUGUACUUUAUGAAUAAGGAUCGGCUAACUCCGUGCCAGCAGCCGCGGUAAUACGGAGGAUCCGAGCGUUAUCCGGAUUUAUUGGGUUUAAAGGGAGCGUAGAUGGAUGUUUAAGUCAGUUGUGAAAGUUUGCGGCUCAACCGUAAAAUUGCAGUUGAUACUGGAUGUCUUGAGUGCAGUUGAGGCAGGCGGAAUUCGUGGUGUAGCGGUGAAAUGCUUAGAUAUCACGAAGAACUCCGAUUGCGAAGGCAGCCUGCUAAGCUGCAACUGACAUUGAGGCUCGAAAGUGUGGGUAUCAAACAGGAUUAGAUACCCUGGUAGUCCACACGGUAAACGAUGAAUACUCGCUGUUUGCGAUAUACGGCAAGCGGCCAAGCGAAAGCGUUAAGUAUUCCACCUGGGGAGUACGCCGGCAACGGUGAAACUCAAAGGAAUUGACGGGGGCCCGCACAAGCGGAGGAACAUGUGGUUUAAUUCGAUGAUACGCGAGGAACCUUACCCGGGCUUAAAUUGCACUCGAAUGAUCCGGAAACGGUUCAGCUAGCAAUAGCGAGUGUGAAGGUGCUGCAUGGUUG
rnacentral:rRNA from 1 species